GGCUCCAUAGUGCAGUGGUUAGCACGUCUGCUUUACAUGCAGAAGUUUCUAGGUUUGCACCCCAGGUGGAGCCA
rfam:Pteropus alecto contig164851, whole genome shotgun sequence.